GACGAACGCUGGCGGCGUGCUUAACACAUGCAAGUCGAACGAGAAGAGAUGAGAAGCUUGCUUCUUAUCAAUUCGAGUGGCAAACGGGUGAGUAACGCGUAAGCAACCUGCCCUUCAGAUGGGGACAACAGCUGGAAACGGCUGCUAAUACCGAAUACGUUCUUUUUGUCGCAUGGCAGAGGGAAGAAAGGGAGGCUCUUCGGAGCUUUCGCUGAAGGAGGGCUUGCGUCUGAUUAGCUAGUUGAGGGGUAACGGCCCGACCAAGGCGACGAUCAGUAGCCGGUCUGAGAGGAUGAACGGCCACAUUGGGACUGAGACACGGCCCAGACUCCUACGGGAGGCAGCAGUGGGGAAUCUUCCGCAAUGGACGAAAGUCUGACGGAGCAACGCCGCGUGAACGAUGACGGCCUC
rnacentral:rRNA from 1 species